rnacentral:tRNA from 1 species
GGAGAGAUGGCAGAGUGGUCUAUUGCGGCGGUCUUGAAAACCGUUGUUCGCCGGAAGGUGGACCGGGGGUUCGAAUCCCUCUCUCUCCG